rnacentral:misc_RNA from 1 species
GAAACUUGAAACUCAAAAUCAGGCGUCACAUACAAGAUCGUGGUCAGCUCUCCCUCUUUCCUAGAUUUUGCGCACAUAAUUAUUGGAUUAUGGUUUUGUGUAAGGCGGAAAAUGGUGAGAGCAAUGUUUUGGUACCCUGCGUAUAAUCGUGCUUUUACUAGCUACUGGUUUCUUCUGUGAGGGAGGGUGUGGCAAGCAUAGGCGUACGCCGAUUAGACAUGGCUAAGAUAGAAUGAAAUGCCUUGGACCUCUUUAUUUUUUUUUUUUACCAAUUUUCCCUCUGUGAGUGUCAUGGUUGAUUGGCUCUGGUGACUUGAGUUCAGUGGUAACUGUGUGGUCUUUCUUGUGCUUUGGAGGUCAAGCUGUCUUCUUGUCGUUUUGCCUUUGAUGCUCUGUUUGCUUGCUCAAUCUCAGUAUCUGCUCUAACUCUGGAUGGUCCAGCGAAACUAUUUGGCAUCGUUGGUGAUUUUGGUUCCUGUGUGCUCAAGGGUUGCUGGCGGUACUAUUGGCUUGGUGGGUGGUUUUCCCAGUGGGUAUGGGUUGAUGCGAGGAGCUUUGGGUUGAUGUUUGGG